GACGAACGCUGGCGGCGUGCCUAACACAUGCAAGUCGAGCGGACGGAGACCGAACCGCAAGGGGAGGUUGAAGUUAGCGGCGAACGGGUGAGUAACACGUGGGUAACCUACCCUAAAGUCUGGGACAACGGCCCGAAAGGGCCGCUAAUACCGGAUAAUGUCUUCGGGUCGCAUGGCCUGGGGAAGAAAGCCGAAAGGCGCUUAUGGAUGGGCUCGCGUCCCAUCAGCUAGUUGGUAAGGUAACGGCUUACCAAGGCGACGACGGGUAGCCGGUCUGAGAGGAUGGUCGGCCACACUGGGACUGAGAUACGGCCCAGACUCCUACGGGAGGCAGCAGUUGGGAAUAUUGGGCAAUGGGCGAAAGCCUGACCCAGCGACGCCGCGUGAGGGAAGAAGGCCUUCGGGUCGUAAACCUCUGUCAUCGGGGACGAAGAAAGUGACGGUACCCGAGGAGGAAGCCCCUGCUAACUACGUG
rnacentral:rRNA from 1 species